rnacentral:rRNA from 1 species
AGAGUUUGAUCCUGGCUCAGAACAAACGCUGGCGGCGUGCCUAACACAUGCAAGUCGUACGAGAAAGUCCGCUUCGGUGGAUUAGUAAAGUGGCGCACGGGUGAGUAACGCGUGGAUAAUCUACCCUUUAGUCUGGAAUAACUUAUCGAAAGGUGAACUAAUACCGGAUAAUAUCCCGAUUUCUUCGGCGAUCGGGAUCAAAGAAGGCCUCUGCUUGCAAGCUUUCACUGAAGGAUGAGUCCGCGUACCAUUAGCUAGUUGGUAGGGUAAUGGCCUACCAAGGUUAUGACGCUUAGCUGAUCUGAGAGGAUGAUCAGCCACAAUGGAACUGAGACACGGUCCAUACUCCUACGGGAGGCAGCAGUGAGGAAUCUUCCGCAAUGGGCGCAAGCCUGACGGAGCGACACCGCGUGGAGGACGAAGGCCUUUUGGUUGUAAACUCCUUUUUUGAGGGAAUAAUUGAUGAAGUUACCUCAAGAAUAAGCACCGGCUAACUACGUGCCAGCAGCUGCGGUAAUACGUAGGGUGCAAGCGUUAUCCGGAAUUAUUGGGCGUAAAGCGUUCGCAGGCGGUUUGGUAAGUCCAUGGUUAAAUCUGGUCGCUCAACGAUCAACAUGCCAUAGAUACUGCCUAACUUGAGGAUGGCAGAGGCAACUGGAAUUCUGCGUGUAGGGGUAAAAUCCGUUGAUACGCAGAGGAACACCAAAAGCGAAGGCAGGUUGCUGGGCCAUUUCUGACGCUGUUGAACGAAAGCGUGGGGAGCAAACAGGAUUAGAUACCCUGGUAGUCC